UACGUCGGGGGCAAGCGUUGUCCGGAUUUAUUGGGCGUAAAGCGCACGUCGGCGGAUCGCUAAGUCAGGGGUGAAAUCCUGGAGCUCAACUCCAGAACUGCCUUUGAUACUGGCAAUCUCGAGUCCGGGAGAGGUGAGUGGAACUGCGAGUGUAGAGGUGAAAUUCGUAGAUAUUCGCAAGAACACCAGUGGCGAAGGCGGCUCACUGGCCCGGUACUGACGCUGAGGUGCGAAAGCGUGGGGAGCAAACAGG
rnacentral:rRNA from 1 species